rnacentral:rRNA from 1 species
UACGAAGGGGGCUAGCGUUGCUCGGAAUUACUGGGCGUAAAGCGCACGUAGGCGGCUUUCUAAGUCGGGGGUGAAAUCCUGGAGCUCAACUCCAGAACUGCCUUCGAUACUGGAAAGCUCGAGUCCGGGAGAGGUGAGUGGAACUGCGAGUGUAGAGGUGAAAAUUCGUAGAUAUUCGCAAGAACACCAGUGGCGAAGGCGGCUCACUGGCCCGGUACUGACGCUGAGGUGCGAAAGCGUGGGGGAGCAAAACAGG